rnacentral:rRNA from 1 species
AUUGAACGCUGGCGGCAGGCCUAACACAUGCAAGUCGAGCGAGCGGCGGACGGGUGAGUAAUGUAUGGGAACUGUCCGAUAGAGGGGGAUCACUACUGGAAACGGUAGCUAAUACCGCAUACCAUCGGAUAGCCCAGAUGGGAUUAGCUAGUAGGUGAGGUAAUGGCUCACCUAGGCGACGAUCCCUAGCUGGUCUGAGAGGAUGAGCAGCCACACGGGAACGGAGACAGGGGCCAGGGUCCUACGGAGGCAGCGGCGGGGAAUAUUGCACAAUGGGCGCAAGCCUGAUGCAGCCAUGCUGCGUGUAUAAAGAAGGCCAUCGGGUUGUAAAGUACUUUCAGUCGGGAGGCGUUACCGACAGAAGAAGCACCGGCUAACUCCGUGCCAGCAGCCGCGGUAAUUC